rnacentral:rRNA from 1 species
AGGANUCGCAUGGAGAAGUCUGACGGAGCAACGCCGCGUGAGUGAUGAAGGUUUUCGGAUCNUANAGCUCUGUUGUUAGGGAAGAACAAGUGCCGUUCNAAUAGGGCGGCACCUUGACGGUACCUAACCAGAAAGCCACGGCUAACUACGUGCCAGCAGCCGCGGUAAUACGUAGGUGGCAAGCGUUGUCCGGAAUUAUUGGGCGUAAAGGGCUCGCAGGCGGUUUCUUAAGUCUGAUGUGAAAGCCCCCGGCUCAACCGGGGAGGGUCAUUGGAAACUGGGGAACUUGAGUGCAGAAGAGGAGAGUGGAAUUCCACGUGUAGCGGUGAAAUGCGUAGAGAUGUGGAGGAACACCAGUGGCGAAGGCGACUCUCUGGUCUGUAACUGACGCUGAGGAGCGAAAGCGUGGGGAGCGAACAGGAUUAGAUACCCUGGUAGGUCCACGCAA